rnacentral:lncRNA from 1 species
AUGGCUAUUUCAUGUGGACCCUGUGUUCUUGGGAGAGCCAUGCUUUCUGCGCAUGUGUGCAAGUUCCACCUGCACCCCACUCAGGUGAUGCCGCAACCCCGCGAGUUUCAGGUGGGGAUGGGGAGCGGUCACGUGGACAGAAUCCAGGUAGGGCCCAGCAGGUGGUCAGGCGGGUGCCAGACAGGGGCUCCUCUGACUCCCGAGGAGCCGGCCCAGCAGGCCGACGUCUGUCCCCGCGGUCGGCGUGGCUGCCCCGCCUGUGGGUUCCUGCCACUGCUCCUGGCUCACAGGCCUGAGGGGUCCCUGCACUCAUUGCCCCAAAUUUUAGUGGCUCCUCUGGACCCGCGGUGGGGGCGGGAGGGGCCCCUGCCUCUCUCCCAUACUAUUCCCUCCUCUAGAAAUAGCUUCCCCUCCUUCUGUCUGGCCAAAAACUGCAUAAACUUCAUAACCCAGCACAGCCUUCUUUGCUGCCACUGCAUCACAGCUGUGGCGGCAAGAAUGCAGUCUCUGUGAAGGCAGGGACCACUGUCCACCAUCAUUAUCAUCCUGCAACCCAGCACAGCCCUGACACGUAUCCAAUGUCCAGUAAAUGUGGGUGGGUGGAUAGAAAGAUGAAUGGAGUGAUAGAUGGACGGAUGGAUGGAUGGAUGGAUGGAUGGAUGGAUGGAUGAAUGGAUGGGGUGGUGGAUGGAUGAGUGGGUGAGUGGGUGGAUGGCUGACUGGAUGGAGUGAUGCAUGGGGUGGUGGAUGGAUGGAUGGAUGGAUGGAUGGAUGGAUGGAUGGAUGGAUGUAUGUAUGGAUGGAUGGAUGGAUGGAUGGAUGGAUGAAUGGGUGGGUGGGUGGAUGCACGGGGUGGUGGUUGGAUGGAUGGGUGAAUGGACAGCUGAAUGGAGUGAUGGAUGCGUGGGUGGGUGGGUGGGUGGGUGGAUGGAUGGAUGGAGUAAUGCAUGGGGUGGUGGAUGGGUGGAUGGAUGGGUGGGUAGAUGGACUGAUGCAUGGGGUGGUGGAUGGAUGGAUGGAUGGAUGGAUGGAUGGAUGGAUGGAUGGAGUGGUGGAUGGAUGGGGUGGUGGAUGGGUGGGUGGGUGGGGGGUGGAUGGAUGGGUGGGUGGAUGGACAGAUGAAUGGAGUGAUAGAUAGAGUGAUGGGUAGAUGGAUGGAGUGAUGGAUGUGGUGGUAAGUGGGGUGGUGGAUAGAUGGUUAUGGUGAAUGGGUGGGUGGAUGGAUAGGUGGAUGUCAGCACCCAGUAGAAAGAGCCAGUUCCUAGCUUUGGCGGCCCAGUGUCAGCAAAGGGAAUGGGUCAUCCCAACCCAAGGCAGCCCAGAGAACAUUUGAGGGCCUCUCCCUCCAAGCCUUUCUGUCCUAUGCAGUGGCCUCCACUCCCCUGGAGACCAUGAAAAAUGACUUGACAACAGCCCAGAGGAAGCGUGCCUCUUCAGGCUACAGCUUUCAAAAUCUUCUCCUGUCAUCAGAGCCUGCAAAUAAAAUGGUAGCUAUGCCUGGCAACCUCAGAGGAUCAAAGGCAGCAAGAGAAAAGCAAAAUCAAAUUACCCUGGAAGGCAGCAGCCCUGGAAGAAGCAUGGCUUGUGAAAUUGAAAGCAGAGACACUGGAGCCUGCCCCCCUCCUCUGCGACCGCCCCGCCAGCCGCUGGACGUUUGAAGCAGGGAUUGUAAACUGCUCGGGUGAGGAAGGAGAAGCCAGCCCACAAAAGGCUUUGUUUGGCCCGUACCAUGCUUUCUCAUUUUAAAAUCUGGGUGCCAACAUCUAAAAUCGUGUGCUUUCACAUAAAAAUCUAGUUCACAGGUCUGGUUCCUCCAAAGAAACCAGAUAUUGCAGGUGACUCCAGGUUCCCCCAUGACGGCAGUUAUCUGGAGCUGAGCAGGGGCUGCCUGUUGGAUGUGGCACUCCCCAGGUGACCACAGGUCCACCCACCACCAGUACCUGCCUGGCCCCCGAAGGUGAGUGGACGGACACCCAGCGUUUCUGUUCACGGAGGACUCUGCUCCCCGCCAAGAAGCACAAUUCCGUGGCUCCCAAAAUGUCCGGGUUUGAGAGGACUCAGCCUGGCAUUUCCAGGAUGCAACCAACACAAUUGCUCUUCCUCCUGACUUUCUCCUGCUUCUGAAUUUUCUGGGAGACCUCAGACCAGGAUCAGGAUGCUAAUUCCCUAAUCUCUGUGAUUUGUCUGCCUAAAAACAGGAGGCCACUGGGGGCAACCAGGGGUUCGUCUCUGACCUGCUCUCAGCUUUCCAUCUCUGCUGAUGCUGAGUCAAGGGCCGCAUGGGGGCAAGACGUGCCUCUCUCCCCUUUGAGGACCAGAGGGAAGCUCGCGAGGGCCUCACUAGCCCACUCCAGCCGGUGGAUUGGGGUCCCCGUGGCUCCUCCAACAUGCAGGCUACCUUUCUGCAGGUCACCAGCCACUGGCUCUGGACUCUGCUGGUGGAAGAUGGUUGCCAGGCAGAGGGAGGCGGAGAGAGGAGAGAGAGAGACCGGCGGGGCUGUUUGCACAUGGAUAAUGCAGUGGGGUUGUGUGCAGGGAGGAGUGCCGGCGAGGGCUGUUUGUUCUGGGAAUGGUUAAUCCUUGUUCAAAUUUAUAUCCUGAAUCUUUAAUGCAACUGUGUCAAUGAAGAGUUGGCCGCCUGGCUCCGUACAGCUGGGCCCGACUCCCGGAGUCAUUGACACGCUCCAGGGGUUCUGAAGGACAUGGGAGUGUCUUGGGCUCCCCACCCCACUCGCUCACACUUCCAGGAACCCCUGGAACCGCCAACUUCCAGGAAGGUUGGCUCCGGGAGAGGAACAGAUGAAAGCUCGACAUGGCUAAAUUUUGCAAUGGGUGAUGCUGACCAGGCUCUGUCUCCCAUUCACUGGGUAAAGAAAUCAGGCUGCCAUACGGCUCUGGGUGGGGACCUGGUCUCGUUCAGUUUAGAAGCAUUUAUUUUUUUAAAGUAAGUCCUGGUGUUGACUGGGAGUUGAGGGUCUGAGGCCAAGUUAAAGCAGACCGUGUCGACGGCGAAACCCCCUCACCGAGGGGUCAGCAGCUUGGGGCAGAAGGGCGGGCUCCAUGCAGAGGCCUGAGAACCAGAGGAAAAAGCAGGCCAGGGCACCCUCCAAAGCAGCCCCCCAGAAAGGACCUCCAUGGGGUCCCACCAGGGUGUGCUGGUAAGUGCUUGACCAGCUUUUUGGGUGGGGGCGGGGAGGGUGGGGGAGAAAGGCCCUGAUUUGUGGCACUUGUCAGUUCGCGCGGUGUAAACGCUCCCACUUUGGCCAAGGCCGAGCUGCCUCUCUGGAGACGCUAAUCUGCACGAGGCAGCGCCAGCACAGCCCUCAAGCCCCUCGUGUGCUACUCUGGGUUUCAUUCUCUUUUCC